rnacentral:lncRNA from 1 species
GACCCGGACAGGCCCCUUUACCUCUCUCGUGCCCAUCUCCUUAGCUGUAAAAUAGGAAAAUGGCCUUUCACUUCUAUAAUCACUGUGAAAAUGAAUGGAAGAUGCCGUUCAAAGGCCGAGGCCAGCGCCCUGACGGCCCAUGGCAUGUGCAGUCCACAAUGUGGGAGGCAGGAUGCAGGGGAUGGGCUCUGUCCCCUUGGAACUCAGGGCACAGGCAUGGGGGUGCCAGGCAGCCCUGAAGACAAGCUGAUGAGGGUGCACUAGGAAAAGUGCAGGGCAUCGGCGAGGCACACGAAGGAGGUGGGGAGGUGAAGAUGGAGAAGAAGCCGAGGCAGUGGCCAUGGGUGUGGAGCCUCGCGCCGUGGGUGCCCAGCUGGUCUGGGAAACCGCAAGAAAUCCCGCAGCUCAGGUGCGCAGUGGGAAGGACUUGCUAUUCCGUGGGAAGGCAGGCGAACCUUCCCAGGGAAGGGGCAUGGCCGUGCGCCUCAUGUUUUGGGAAGCUCGUGCCCUCUGGGGUAGCGAGGCCAGCUUGGAGGGGAGUCCAGUGGACAGAGGUGGAUGCAAGUGGAGGGAGCUGAGCCUGGGCUGGGGCUGGCGGCAAAGGGCUGGACAGCAGGGCGCCUGCGUGGCAGCUGUGCAGUCAGUGGGGUUGACUGGUUUGGAAGGUAAGGUGAGGGAGAAGCCCGGAGGAUUCCUGUCCCUUGACUUGGACAGCCCAGUGGAGAGCACUGUGUACCAAGAGCAGGAAACCAGGGAGAAGAAGAUGUUGACUUUAAGAUACCAAGCAGAGAAGGGAAGAGCCUUCUGGGCUGGAGACGUGGGGUGCCUCAGAAGGGAGGACCUUGAGCUAGCAGCACAUGGGACAAACGCAGGGGACAGGGCACAGCCGUGGCAGGAGUGCAGCGAGCAAGAUUCUGGUCACAGUCCUGACCCAGAAACCUGCAGAGGAAGGGAGGGUGGCCAGCACCUGCCCAUGGGCCUGGGGUGCAGCCCAGGCGGAGGUGGAGGGGGUGCUCAGGGAAGAGGGGAGAGGAGUGUGUGACCUCAAAAUGGGAGGGCUUGGGGGUCAGAGUCGAGAGAGGGGACAGGGUGGGGACCAUGUGGGACUCUUGAGCACUGACCCUUGAACCCAGGCAGUGGUGGGAUGGGAGGGCAGGAGGCGGCAGGCUGCGAGGCUGAUGCGGGGCUGCACGGAGCUGUCAUUGAGCCUCUUGGAGGAUGGCGGGAGAAGUGCCAGGGGCGGCUGAAAGCCUUGCCGAGCCUGUGGGCAGCCUGGUUGUGGGCACUUCGGAUGCUUGCACCAUUAGACCCAGAGGCUUCCUGGACGAGCCUGGGCUGGAAGAGGAUGGCAGAGGCUGCUGGGCCUUGGAAGAGAGAGGGUCCUGGCUUCUAGUUCCUGGGGCAGCUAAGGCCAACCCCAGUGUCCAGGUGUCUUCCAUGUUAUGCCUGGGAGGGAAGAAAGUAGAGGGGCAAAUGCUUUCUUUGCCUAUUUUCCUUAAACAUUUGGUGGCAGUGCUGGUGGCUGCCUGGGAUAGGGGCCAGGAGGAAACACACCUGCAUUAGGGAAGCCCUCAGCCAGCUUUUCCCUGGGAUGUUCCUGCGCCUGGCUGAAGCUUUCUGAGUUCAUGUUGGGGAAAUGGAACGGUCACCUUCCAGCCAGUAAAGGCACCCCUAGCUCUUGGGAUGUUUGUAUCCAACUCCGGGCAAUGUGGGGCUACAAAGGCCCCUGGCUUCCACACCCUGGGGACCGGGGGAGGGCUGGUGCUCCCGCGGUGGGUGUCCACGGUGAGGUCAGGCCCCCACAGCAGGUGCAUUCUCGCCCUCAGCAGGCAGGCAAGCAGGCAUCAGCUCCGGCGCUGGUCUCUGGCUUCGAAGUCUGUGUCUUUGCCUGUCUGUACUCAUGCCUGACCUGCUGGCGCUCCCUGUCCACUGCACUCCUCCCACCUCAUUUUUAUGUGAUUUUGCACAGUGCCUGGCAGACAUUUGACAUUCAAUAAACAUUAUACGAACGAAAGAAUCAAUCCCCCUCUCACUCUCUCUGUCCUUCUCCCUGUGUGCCUCCAUAUAUUUGUGCAUCUUUUGGGAGUCAGGUGACUUUCCCUACCCUCCCCUCUCCCCAUGCUGCCCUGGUCACUGCCCUUGGGACCCCAGCCCAACAGGCCAGUUUAAAAGGAUUGCGGCUUGGCUCAGUGGCUCAUGCUUAUAAUCCCAGUGCUUUGGGAGACUGAGGCAGGAGGAUUGCUUGUGCCCAGGAGCUCAAGGCUGCAGUGAGCCGUGAUUGCACCACUGCACUCCAGCCUGGGUGACAGAGCGAGACCCUGUUUCAAUAAAUAAAUAAAGGAUCAAGACUGAGGGGACUGUAAAGGCCGAGCCUCACUGUGCAUCUGUGUGUGUGUGUGUGAGACUGUGUGCAUAUGUGUUCGUG